rnacentral:rRNA from 1 species
CGGUUGAUCCUGCCGGACCUGACUGCUAUCGGAUUGAUACUAAGCCAUGCGAGUCAUUGUAGUAAUACAAGGCAGACGGCUCAGUAACGCGUAGUCAACCUACCCUAUGGACGGGGAUAACCUCGGGAAACUGAGAAUAAUACCCGAUAGAACAUUAUGCCUGGAAUGGUUUAUGUUUCAAAUAAUUUAUUGCCGUAGGAUGGGACUGCGGCCUAUCAGUUUGUUGGUGAGGUAAUGGCCCACCAAGACUAUUACAGGUACGGGCUCUGAGAGGAGUAGCCCGGAGAUGGGUACUGAGACACGGACCCAGGCCCUAUGGGGCGCAGCAGGCGAGAAAACUUUGCAAUGUGCGAAAGCACGACAAGGUUAAUCCGAGUGGUUUCUGCUAAAGGAACCUUUUGUCAGUCCUAGAAACACUGGUGAAUAAGGGGUGGGCAAGUUCUGGUGUCAGCCGCCGCGGUAAAACCAGCACCUCAAGUGGUCAGGAUGAUUAUUGGGCCUAAAGCAUCCGUAGCCUGCUUUGUAAGUUUUCGGUUAAAUCCAUACGCUCAACGUAUGGGCUGCCGGGAAUACUGCAAAGCUAGGGAGUGGGAGAGGUAGACGGUACUCGGUAGGAAGGGGUAAAAUCCUUUGAUCUAUUGAUGACCACCUGUGGCGAAGGCGGUCUACCAGAACACGUCCGACGGUGAGGGAUGAAAGCUGGGGGAGCAAACCGGAUUAGAUACCCGGGUAGUCCCAGCUGUAAACUAUGCAAACUCAGUGAUGCAUUGGCUUGAUGCCAAUGCAGUGCUGCAGGGAAGCCGUUAAGUUUGCCGNCUGGGAAGUACGUAUGCAAGUAUGAAACUUAAANGAAUUGGCGG